rfam:Streptomyces sp. DI166 genome assembly, contig: Ga0115233_1037
UCAGCGGGCCGUGACUGGCGCGCUGGGAUGGGACCGACCAUCGGGGAGCGGCCCGGUCGUGACUGUGUGCCGUGCGCCUGGGCCGAACCG